rnacentral:lncRNA from 1 species
UCUUAUCCCUAACCAGGGAGAGCUUCUGACAAAUGAGCAUGGGUCCAGAAUAGGGGAACCCUUCUAUACUCGAAGACUCUGACACAACAGAUCUUGGGCUUUUGAUCUCAAUGCUACAACCAUGUAAUGGGAGCAAGGAGAAGACUCACAGAAUAGUGGGGGAUAGAUUACAUAUCCCUACCUUCCACCAAUUGCCUUCUUUAAAGGACUUUUCCUGCUUGGGCUUAAAAAU